rnacentral:rRNA from 1 species
UUUGUACACUAUACAAGGUAAUGCCUGCCCAGUGACCAUGUGUUCAACGGCCGCGGUAUUCUGACCGCGCGAAGGUAGCGUAAUCACUUGUCUUCUAAAUAAAGACUAGUAUGAACGGCCUCACGAGGACUUAACUGUCUCCCCUGUCCAAUCAGUGAAACUGAUCUCCCCGUGCAGAAGCGGGGAUAAACUCAUAAGACGAGAAGACCCUAUGGAGCUUAAAACUUAAUGUCAACUACCCUUUUACCCUCUCUAAGGAACUAACAAAAAAGCCCUAGACUUGAUGUAAGUUUUAGGUUGGGGCGACCAUGGAGAAAAAAAUAACCUCCCUGAUGAUUUUCUAACUAAGAGCCACAACUCUAAGUAUUAAGACUCUUAACUCCUAUUGACCCAUUAUAUGAUCAACGAACCA